rnacentral:tRNA from 1 species
GCCUUGGUGGUGGAAUUGGUAGACACAAGGGAUUUAAAAUCCUCGGCGUUCGCGCUGUGCCGGUUCAAGUCCGGCCCGGGCACCA